rfam:Trichobilharzia regenti genome assembly, scaffold: TRE_contig0000667
GUACUACUGAAGUGUCCCAAACCAGGACGAAACAGCUGUCCACUAC